UACGAAGGGGGCUAGCGUUGCUCGGAAUUACUGGGCGUAAAGCGCACGUAGGCGGUUUCUUAAGUCGGGGGUGAAAUCCUGGAGCUCAACUCCAGAACUGCCUUCGAUACUGGGGAUCUUGAGUCCGGGAGAGGUGAGUGGAACUCCGAGUGUAGAGGUGAAAUUCGUAGAUAUUCGGAAGAACACCAGUGGCGAAGGCGGCUCACUGGCCCGGUACUGACGCUGAUGUGCGAAAGCGUGGGGAGCAAACAGG
rnacentral:rRNA from 1 species